CACCUCUCAAGAUGGCACCCGGAGAGUUUCCAGUCCUCUACCGGUCUCGGCUACGGGAGGGAGAGUCCAGCAGAGGCCUACCCAGUCCAUUCCUAGCUUGGCUGAUAGCUAGCGAGUGGAAAGUCAUCUGCUACAAGU